rnacentral:rRNA from 1 species
GCAAGAUACCACGGGCGCACGGCGGAUGCCUUGGCACAGGGAGCCGAUGAAGGACGCGGCAAGCUGCGAUAAUCCCCGGCGAGGAGCACACAUCCUUCGACCCGGGGGUCUCCGAAUGGGCGAACCCAUCCACAGCAGUGUGGAUAUCCCCACCCCGAACACAUAGGGGUGGGGAGGACAACCCGGGGAACUGAAACAUCUAAGUACCCGGAGGAGAGGAAAUCAAUCUCGAGACUCCCCGAGUAGCGGCGAGCGAAAGGGGACCGAUGGCCAAACCGUCGAGCGGGCAUACCCGGCAGGGGUUCCGCCGACGGGGUUGCAGGGCCGCGCAUCCGGGGGCUGCCGCCCCCGGGCGCAGGUCCGGCUGGGGAGCGGAACGGCAUGGGAGGGCCGGCCGCAGCGGGUGACAGCCCCGUACGCGAACCCAGACCGGACGGCGCGACGCGGUCCCUGAGUAGGGCCGGGCACGUGAAACCCGGUCCGAACCUGGGUGGACCACCAUCCAAGCCUGAGUACUACCCUGUGACCGAUAGCGCACCAGUACCGUGAGGGAAAGGUGAAAAGCACCCCGGGAGGGGAGUGAAACAGUACCUGAAACCGUGCGCCCACGAGCAGUCGGAGCACCUUUUAAGGUGUGACGGCGUGCCUUUUGUAGAAUGAGCCAGCGAGUCGCUGGCGCGGGGCGAGGUUAACCGAAAGGGAGCCGAAGCGAAAGCGAGCCUUAACAGGGCGACUUGAGUCCCGCGCCGCGGACGCGAAGCCGGGUGAGCUAUCCGUGGGCAGGCUGAAGCGGGGGUAAGACCCCGUGGAGGGCCGAACGCACGUCGGUUGAAAACGGCGGCGAUGACCUGCGGAUAGGGGUGAAAGGCCAAUCAAACCCGGAGAUAUCUCGUUCUCCCCGAAAUAGCUUUAGGGCUAGCGUCGCGCGUUCACCGCCGGAGGUAGAGCACCGGAUGGACGAGGGGGCUUCGCCGCCUACCGAAUCCAACCGAACUCCGAAUGCCGGCGGCCCAGAGCGCGGCAGUCAGAGCAUGUGGGCUAAGCUGUGUGCUCGAGAGGGAAACAGCCCGGACCGCCCGCUAAGGUCCCCAAGUUCCAGCCGAGUGGCAAAGGAUGUGCGUCCGCCCAGACAACCAGGAUGUUGGCUUAGAAGCAGCCAUCCAUUCAAAGAGUGCGUAACAGCUCACUGGUCGAGUGGACAUGCGCCGACAAUACACGGGGCUAAGCUGGACACCGAAGCGGCGGGAUUUUACCUAAGUAGAAUCGGUAGGGGAGCUUCCCAUGGGCGGAGAAGCCGGAGGGCGACCGACGGUGGAGCGCAUGGGAGUGAGAAUGCUGGCAUGAGUAGCGAGAGACGAGAGAGUAACUCGUCCGCCGUGAACCCGAGGUUUCCUGGGCAAGGCUAAUCCUCCCAGGGUCAGUCGGGGGCUAAGGCGAGGCCGGGAGGCGUAGCCGACGCGCAGCAGGCAGACAUUCCUGCACCGCGCACGCGGCGCUACGACCGACGGGGCGACGGAUGGGGGUGGCUCGGCGGGGUUCUGGACGUCCCCGUGAUGGAGCGCGGCCCGCGGACCAGGGAAAUCCGGUCCGCAUCAAGGGCGAGGCUCCGGACGAAGCGACUGAGCGAAGCGAGUGAGCCCGAGGUCCCUAGAAAAACCCCUAGGCAGGCGCGUGCGCGCCCGUACCGCAAACCGACACAGGUGGGUGGGUAGAACAUACCGAGGCGAUCGGGUCAACCAUGGUCAAGGAACUCGGCACAAUGGCCCCGUAACUUCGGGAGAAGGGGUGCCCGCGCGUACGUGAACCGGCUUGCCCGGGGAGCGGAGGCGGGCCGCAGUGGAGAGGCCCAAGCGACUGUUUACCAAAAACACAGGACUCUGCAGAAGCCGCAAGGCGACGUAUAGGGUCUGACGCCUGCCCGGUGCCGGAAGGUCACGCGGAGGAGUUAGCCAUUUCGGCGAAGCCCCGAAGCCAAGCCCCGGUAAACGGCGGCCGUAACUAUAACGGUCCUAAGGUAGCGAAAUUCCUUGUCGGGUAAGUUCCGACCUGCACGAAAGGCGCAACGACUUGGGCGCUGUCUCGACCAUGGACCCGGUGAAAUUGCACUGGUCGUGAAGAUGCGACUUACCCGCGGAAGGACGGAAAGACCCCGUGAACCUUCACUGCAGCUUGGCAUUGGCCGCUGGUCCCGCGUGUAGAGGAUAGGCAGGAGGCUAAGAUCCGGAGGCGCCAGCCCCCGGGGAGCCGCCCUUGGAAUACUGCCCUCGCGCGACCGGCGUCCUAACCCGAGGCCGUCAACCGGCUCGGGGACCGUGCCAGGCGGGCAGUUUGACUGGGGCGGUCGCCUCCUAAAGGGUAACGGAGGCGCGCGAAGGUCCGCUCGGGACGGUCGGCAACCGUCCUUUUGAAUGCAAGAGUACAAGCGGGCUUGACUGCGAGGCCCACAAGCCGAGCAGGUGCGAAAGCAGGCUCUAGUGAUCCGGCGGCCCCGAGUGGGUGGGCCGUCGCUCAACGGAUAAAAGGUACUCCGGGGAUAACAGGCUGAUCUUGCCCAAGAGUCCACAUCGACGGCAAGGUUUGGCACCUCGAUGUCGGCUCAUCGCAUCCUGGGGCUGGAGCAGGUCCCAAGGGUACGGCUGUUCGCCGUUUAAAGCGGUACGCGAGCUGGGUUCAGAACGUCGUGAGACAGUUCGGUCCCUAUCCUCCGUGGGCGCAGGAGAAUCGAUGGAGGCUGCCCCCAGUACGAGAGGACCGGGGUGGACGCACCUCCGGUGAACCGGUUGUCGACCAACGGCACGGCCGGGUAGCCGCGUGCGGCGCGGAUAACCGCUGAAGGCAUCUAAGCGGGAAGCCGUUCCAGGGAUUAGUUCUCCUUCCGGUAAGGGCCCAGGUAGACUACCUGGUCGAUAGACGGCAGGUGCAAGGACGGCGACGUCCUCAGCCGAGCCGCACUAAUCGCCCGAGCUCUUCCGGAA